GAUGAACGCUGGCGGCGUGCCUAAUACAUGCAAGUCGAGCGAACAGACGAGGAGCUUGCUCCUCUGACGUUAGCGGCGGACGGGUGAGUAACACGUGGAUAACCUACCUAUAAGACUGGGAUAACUUCGGGAAACCGGAGCUAAUACCGGAUAAUAUAUUGAACCACAUGGUUCAAUAGUGAAAGACGGUUUUGCUGUCACUUAUAGAUGGAUCCGCGCCGCAUUAGCUAGUUGGUAAGGUAACGGCUUACCAAGGCAACGAUGCGUAGCCGACCUGAGAGGGUGAUCGGCCACACUCGAACUGAGACACGGUCCAGACUCCUACGGGAGGCAGCAGUAGGGAAUCUUCCGCAAUGGGCGAAAGCUUGACGGAGCAACGCCGCGUGAGUGAUGAAGGUCUUCGGAUCGUAAAACUCUGUUAUUAGGGAAGAACAAAUGUGUAAGUAACUAUGCACGUCUUGACGGUACCUAAUCAGAAAGCCACGGCUAACUACGUG
rnacentral:rRNA from 1 species